AUACGGAGGGUGCAAGCGUUACUCGGAAUCACUGGGCGUAAAGCGCGCGCAGGCGGUCUUUUAAGUUGGAUGUGAAAGCCUACGGCUCAACCGUAGAACUGCAUCCAAAACUAUUAGACUAGAGUGUGGGAGAGGAAGAUAAAAUUAGUUGUGUAGGGGUAAAAUCCGUAGAGAUAACUAGGAAUACCAAAAGCGAAGGCAAUCUUCUGGAACACUACUGACGCUGAGGCGCGAAAGCGUGGGGAGCAAACAGGAUUAGAUACCCUAGUAGUCC
rnacentral:rRNA from 1 species